rnacentral:rRNA from 1 species
AGGGUUUGAUUAUGGCUCAGGAUGAACGCUGGCGGCGUGCUUAACACAUGCAAGUCGAACGAUUGAAGCUGGAGCUUGCUCCGGCCGAUUUAGUGGCGGACGGGUGAGUAACGCGUGGGUAACCUGCCUCAUACAGGGGGAUAGCAGUUGGAAACGACUGGUAAAACCGCAUAAGCGCACGGUGUCGCAUGACACAGUGUGAAAACACUCCGGUGGUAUGAGAUGGACCCGCGUCUGAUUAGCUAGUUGGUGAGGUAACGGCCCACCAAGGCGACGAUCAGUAGCCGGCCUGAGAGGGUGAACGGCCACAUUGGGACUGAGACACGGCCCAA